GUGUAUCUGUUAGAAUGUGUCAAUGUAUUGAUUUAAUUAAGUUUAGUUUAGUUUAUGCCAAAUCCAUUGACGUAAUAGCCAGAGUAAACGUUGGACAGGAAGGACGUUUACUACAGUUAAUAAAUAAUAGUGCAUGAUAUAGACUGUGUUGAGAACACAUGUUGAAGAGUUAAGUUUACGCUCUUGAAGAGGUAACAUCAACGACGAAGUCAGAUCAAGAUAGAAAUAUUAAGUGUGAUAUAUAAUCUAUAUAUAACCAAUCAAAGUUUAUAUAACUAUAAUAAAUAAAGUUUUGGAGCAACUAUUGUGUAUGCAUUGGUAAUCCUAACUGGCAAAAAGUAACCUGUAUGGCACGAGGUAACAUUUGGCGACCCCGGCAGGAUUGCCAAUGAAGGGAAUUUUGUUGUUGGUUCUGGUCGUGGUUCUCUGAAGCAACGCGCAGAAGUGGUCCAGAGAGGGGUAGCAGACUGAAGCUUUCCGAUGACAGAAACGAGGUUAGAUCGUUCUAAUUGUUUUAGUAAUCUAGACGAACAUAGCAUGCGUUCUCGCUUUUGAAUGUGGGUAGGAAUAAAGUAGUUUUGUGAAUUGAACUACGUGAACAGUAUAGUUGUUUUCGACCUUUAUGAAGACAAGUGCUAGUAAUAAACUAUGUCUACGGAAGAUCUUGAAACAUUACAAUUUGAAUUAGAGUCCCUACUCUACACCAAAAGCGAGGUCGAAUUGAAAGAGUUUGCUGCUUCGAUCAAAUUAGAUAAAGACAUUUCAACGAAGAGCAAAAUUGCGAUCUUAAAAACUAUUCAGAAAGAUAUAGAUGAAAGAGUUAACGCAGAGGGGGAAAUGUCCGAAAAAGUGGCAUGGUUUAAGGAUUGUAUUGCAAAAAUUAAAUCUCACGAUCAAAGCCAAAAAGUUGACCAGGCAAAUGAGCUUAUCUCGUUGCAAAAGGAAAUUGAAACAUUAAAGGAAAAACAACAAUCUGAAAUGAGUGAUUUGUUGACAAAAUUGGCCGAAGUUCAGACCAGUUCAAAAACCGCGGAAACCACAAAUGUCACAACUGGUAUUAAAAAUACAACAAAAGGAUGCAUGAAACCCGAUGACUCUGUGAAUGCUUCAUUUCUGCGUCGCGAGUUCAAAAUUUCUGGGCAAAUUGGAGAACCCGGUCAGGCAGACAAACUGACAUUCGUUUCGC